CUGAUUGAGUCAGUCAAGAGCAGCAAAAAGCAUGGAAAAAGCACAUUUGAGUUUAACUUGGAGAGAAGGAAUUUACUGGAGUAUAAUCUUCAAAGAGGGCCGAGUCGUUGUAUGGACAGAAGGUGAUGAACCAGCAUUUCCAUCCCUCCAGACCAUCUUCAUUAUGGAGACUCAGGAUGACUGACCCCCCGACCUGCAUCACUGGCUGGCCUGUCACGAUGCUCAAGUGAAAUGAGUCCCCAGAGAAUGCCUGGUUAACAGGUAGGAUUGGGUACACAGAAACUAAAGAUGCAGGGGACAGGGGACAAGAAAAGAUUAAGUAAAACGCUCUAAUGUAGGUGCUGACAAAAUGAAUGUCCCUACAAUAAAUUGCAAAGAGGUGUUGAGCAUUGGUAUUGCUGCCACCUAGUGACAGAUCACAGCAGAUAUAGAUGGUAAUAGAAAGGAGAUGUAAACUUGACAUCUGUUGCAGAUGUGCGAACACUGAUUACCUUUCAGCCCUUGCUGACAUCUGGCCUGGAGCACGAACACUGCAACGAAAUCAAGAAAGAUUUCCAACUUAAAUUCAAAGAAAACUAAAUGAUACACAGCUUACAUUCAUUUCCACUAUGUAAGCAAACAAGACAGAGCCAAAUAAAAACU